AAAUUGUAUUCCAUCAGAUUUUCAAUUUUGAUGCGUGUUUGUGUAUGUUCUUAUUGUUGAUAUUGCUAUAUUGUAAUCCGAUCAUUUUAACACUUGACAAAAGUGAAAACAAAAUUUAAAUUCAACCAAAAACAACCGAAUGACAUUUUGUUUUGAAAACAAAACAAAACAAACGGAAAAAAAUAAUGACAACUGUUGAAAGCCAUCAAAUUUAACGUUACUUCUUCUUAUUCUUUGUGGUUUUUUUUCGUUGUUAAAAAGUUCUUGUUGUUGAUGUGUGAUUCUGUCUUGUGUGUUUGUGUAAUGUGUUUGAAUUUAUGAUAUCAUUCAUCGUAUAUCACAUCAAAUAUCAAAUUGGACAUUGAAUAAUUUAUUGCUGAUCACAUACAUAUCAUCAAUUGGUAAAGAGCAUCGAGCAACAAAAUUCCCGUUAUCAUCCAACAUCCUUUUACUAUUAUCAUCAUCUUUGUUUUGUUUGUGUGUCGUGUGUUUGUGUUCGUUUUGUGUGUAUUAUCAAUUCUAUGUUUGAUUCACAUAUCAUUCAUAUUUGUUUUUGUUUCAAUCAAACCGAUCAAACAUCAUUUUUUUUGUUUCAUCUUUAUAGCCAAAUUCAAAAAAUAAAUAGAAAACAAAAACAGAAUAACAAACAAACAACCUACGACAAUUGAUGACGACAUCAAAUUUUAUCACUGAAAAAAAUUUGAGCAAAACGUGGAGAUUUUCAUUCAUUAUUUUUCUGUUGUUGUCUAUGUAUGUGAUGUUUUAUUCACCUUUCACUUUCACCAACAUCGACAACAAUAAUAAUAACAAAUUUGGCCAAUCAAAAUAAUAAUAAUAAUAAAUUCUCGUACAUCAUCAUUAUCAGCAUUCAACAACAACAACAACAACAACAACAACACCUAC